rnacentral:rRNA from 1 species
AGAACGAACGCUGGCGGCAUGCCUAAUACAUGCAAGUCGAACGAACUCUUCGGAGUUAGUGGCGCACGGGUGCGUAACGCGUGGGAAUCUGCCCCUUGGUUCGGAAUAACAGUUGGAAACGACUGCUAAUACCGGAUGAUGACGAAGGUCCAAAGAUUUAUCGCCAAGGGAUGAGCCCGCGUAGGAUUAGCUAGUUGGUGAGGUAAAGGCUCACCAAGGCAACGAUCCUUAGCUGGUCUGAGAGGAUGAUCAGCCACACUGGGACUGAGACACGGCCCAGACUCCGACGGGAGGCAGCAAGUAGGGAAUAGUUGGAACAAGUGGGACGAAAGCCUGAUACCAGACAAGUCGCCGCGUGAGUGAUAGGAACGGCCGUUAGGGUUAGUAAAGU